rnacentral:piRNA from 1 species
UGAAAACCCAUCAGAUUUUUCUCCUUAGA